CUGAGGGACCAUUGGAGGAGUGUGCCGAGGGGCCCAGAGACCAGAGCGCGGACACAGACCAGCGCCGACCCGCGCACGCCUACGUGGCCCGGGGUGCGGGGAGGCGUCCGGGGAUAGGGCAUGGGACGUCCCUCCCCCCCCCCCCCCCCCAACCUAGAGGCCUAUGGCUGAAGGUCUCUCAUGAGACCACAGUUGCACCGGAUCCUUCCACCUUCCUGCCCCUGACCACCCGGGGUAGGGACCGAAGCUCCAGGCCCAGUGCUCUGUGCCCUUGGAGAGCAAGAGAGCGGGAGAGGGAGGGGCAGAGACAGAAUCUCAAGCAGGCUUCACGCUCAACACGGAGCCUGACACAGGGCUCGACCCCGUGACCUCGGGAUCACAUCCUGAGAUGAAAUCAGGAGUUGGACGCUCAAUCCACUGAGCCACCCAGGCGCCCCCUGAUCCAUUUUUAGAAGUGUUCUGUUUGUCUGUGUACAAAUAUAGGCUCCAUGACAAUUA